GACGAACGCUGGCGGCGUGCUUAACACAUGCAAGUCGAACGGAAAGGCCCUGCUUUUGUGGGGUGCUCGAGUGGCGAACGGGUGAGUAACACGUGAGUAACCUGCCCUUGACUUUGGGAUAACUUCAGGAAACUGGGGCUAAUACCGGAUAGGAGCUCCUGCUGCAUGGUGGGGGUUGGAAAGUUUCGGCGGUUGGGGAUGGACUCGCGGCUUAUCAGCUUGUUGGUGGGGUAGUGGCUUACCAAGGCUUUGACGGGUAGCCGGCCUGAGAGGGUGACCGGCCACGGUGGGACUGAGAUACGGCCCAGAGUACGACGGGAGGCAGCAGUGGGGAAGAUUGAACAAGGGGCGGAAGCCGGAUGCAGCAACGCCGCGGGCGGGAGGACGGCCUGCGGGUUGGAAACCGCGUUCGCCGGUGACGAAGCGGGAGUGAGGGGAAUGGGUAAAGAAGCACCGGCUAACUACGUG
rnacentral:rRNA from 1 species